UGGAACAUUGUGUGCCUGAAAAUCCAGAGAAGGACAAUGAUGUGCAUUAUUAUUAGCCUGCCUUCCAUCUGUGCGACGUGCGCACAAAAUAUAUGACAACGCUCAAGAAUUUGGCAGCACAUCCAUCCGGCCUCGCAACCGCAGACCAUGUGUAACCACGCCAGCCCAGGACCUCAACAUCCGGCUUCUUCACCUGCGGGAUCGUCUGAGUCCAGCCACCUGGACAUCUGAUGAAACUGAGGAGUAUUUUUGUCUGUAAUGAAGCCCGUUUGUGGGGAGAAACUCAUUCUGAUUGGCUGGGCCUGGCUCGGGUGUGUCAUGUGAAAUACAUAGAUUAGGGCCUAAUUUAUUUAUUUAAAUUGACUGAUUUCUUUAUAUGAACUGUAACUCAAUAAAAUUGUUGAAAUUGU